AAAUUUGAAAUCUGGCCUUCGGGUCCGAGUUGUAAUUUGUAGAGGAUGCUUUUGGUGCGGUGCCUUCCGAGUUCCUUGGAACAGGACGCCUUAGAGGGUGAGAGCCCCGUACGGUUGGACACCAAGCCUUUGUAAAGCUCCUUCGACGAGUCGAGUAGUUUGGGAAUGCUGCUCUAAAUGGGAGGUAAAUUUCUUCUAAAGCUAAAUACCGGCCAGAGACCGAUAGCGCACAAGUAGAGUGAUCGAAAGAUGAAAAGUACUUUGAAAAGAGGGUUAAAUAGCACGUGAAAUUGUUGAAAGGGAAGCGUUUAUGACCAGACCUUUGCCAGGCGGAUCAUCCGGUGUUCUUCACCGGUGCACUUCGCCUGGCUCAGGCCAGCAUCGAUUUCUGUAGGGGGACAAAGACCAUGGGAACGUAGCUCUCUUCGGGGAGUGUUAUAGCCCUAGGUGUAAUACCCUUACGGGGAUCGAGGUUCGCGCUUCUGCAAGGAUGCUGGCGUAAUGGUCAUCAAUGACCCGUCUUGAAACACGGACCAAGGAGUCGAACAUUUAUGCGAGUGUUUGGGUGUUAAACCCUCACGCGUAAUGAAAGUGAACGGAGGUGAGAGCCUUGUAUUAGGUGCAUCAUCGACCGAUCCUGAUGUAUUCGGAAGGAUUUGAGUAAGAGCAUAACUGUUCGGACCCGAAAGAUGGUGAACUAUGCGUGGAUAGGGUGAAGCCAGAGGAAACUCUGG
rnacentral:rRNA from 1 species